UGUGUGUGUGUGUGUGUGUGUGUGUGACCCACUGAGCCAUUUCUCCAGAACACCUUAAUGCAAAUAACAUCAUACCCGAGGUUGUGGGUGAAUUUGGGGAUAAGGAGCACCAUUCAACUACCAGAGAUAUUUCUUCCCCUUUCUUUUACCUCAUCACCUCCCACCAAGUAAUCCAUAGACUCUACUGCCAUACUCUUUAAAUCCACUCCCUGAUCAGCACCCAAUCAACCAGGACAUCAGAUCAACCGCUGGAGAAAGCAACAGUGCUCCAUUUGAAGGGCUCCCCGUUUCCCAGUGAAGCCCCAUGGUUAUCCACAGAAUUAAAAGAGCACUUAACUCACAAACCAGACAGUGUUACUUCUCCAGAUCAUGAGGACAGAGUUCUUCAAUGAACUCCUAAGAGCAGGCCGUGAGGAGCCUGCAAGAUUGCUCAGUGACACACUUGCCACCAAGACCGACGCCCUAAGCUACACCUCUGCGAUCUGUGAGACACAAGGAAAGAGCAAAUACCUAAGGGUUGUCCUCUGGGUGUCAUACACACACUGCCGCACACAGGGGUGAGCACUCACACCCACCCAAAUUAACAAACAUAAUAAAAGAAGACUUUUAACUGGUCGCGAAGUCCAAACUCCCCAGGGAUUUGCAUGUUACCUACAGGAAGUUACAUGCAAAUGUCUAGGAAAGUCACAUGCACACCUUUUCUGUCUGGUCAGGCUUUAUCUAUGUACAAAAAGAGAAAGACGAGAACCUGACAACCCACAGGAUCUCAAAUCUGAAAGUGGUCGAGACCUGGAUUCUUCAGACACACAAUAUGUUGAAUCUCUGAUUCCAGUCUGAGAGUUCACCCAAAAGUCAGGGCAAGAUCGAGGAGACAGAGCAAUGAGUUAGACUGCCAGUGGCUUCCACCAAGGCUCCCAGUAGUUUCAUUGUUGUGUAACAGAAACACAAUAUAAACUCAUCAAGAGAUUGAUGUGUAAAAUUGCUGACAUCUGCAAGUGGAAUGCUUUUUGGCCGUAAAUAAUCUCAUUUUUACUUUUUUAAAUGUUAUGCAUAGAGGUGUUUUGUUUACAUGCAUGUCUAUGCUUCAUGUGUGCCUAAUGCCCAAGGAGAUCAGAGGAGAGUAUCAGAUUCUCUGGACUGGAGUUACAUAUGGUAGCAAUCCAUCAUCGAGAUGCUGGGAAUCAAACCCAGGACCUCUAGAAGAAUAAGUACUCUUAACCACUGAGAAGUCGCUCCAGUCCCCCCCACACCAAAAAGAAAGAAAGAAAGAAAGAAAGAAAGAAAGAAAGAAAGAAAGAAAGAGAGAGAGAGAGAGAGAAAGAGAAAGAAAGAAAGAAAGAAAGAAAGAAAGAAAGAAAGAAAGAAAGAAAGGAAGGAAG
rnacentral:lncRNA from 1 species